AGAUUUCUGAGUUCGAAGCCAGCCUGGUCUACAAAGCGAGUUCCAGGACAGCCAAGGCUAUACAGAGAAACCCUGUCUGGAAAAAAAAACCUAACCAACACAAACAAAACACCAGAAAGGUAUGAUCCCUAUACCUGUGACCUGUAAGGAUUUAGAUCUCAGUGUUAGAGCCAGGCAACGUGAGUCUUUCUCAAAACCAAACUAACCUCAGCGAGAGAGGUUUUUCCAAAGCUCUGUAAAGAUGGUGAAGGUAGCAGCUGCUGAUGAGUUAGUAUACGUCCAUUUGAACAUUGCCAUAGGGUGCUAUUAAGUCACAACAUUUGACAAGUGGCUAUUGCAUUUAUAUGUUCGUUUAUUUAUUUACUUAUUGGGUUGUUUUGUCUUGUUUUGUUUUGUUUUGUUUUGAGACAGGGUUUAUCUGUGCAGCUUGGCUGUCCUGAAACUCACUCUGGACCAGGAGACCUUGAAGUCAGGCAUCUCUCUGCCUCUGCAUCUUGAGUGCUGGGAUUAAAGGCUUAUACCACCACUGCAUGGCUAAAUGCACUGAUUUUUAUCAAGAAAAUAUGGGCUGGAGAGAUCGCUCAGUGGUUACUGCUCUAGCAGAGGGCGUGAAUGCAAUACCCAGUACCAAACUGGGAUAGCCUCUGACCUGUACUCACAUGGUCAUACCCACACCUGCACGGAAUUUUAAAUGAGAGCUUUGUGUGACUUUAAUCCCAGCACUUGGGAGGCAGGGGGAGGCUGAUCUCUGUGAGUUCAAAGCCAGCCUGGUGUCUACAUAGUGAGUUUCAGGACAGCCAGAGUUACAUAGUGAAACCCUGCCUCAAAAUACAAAGCAAAACAUAGUCUGCGUGGUGAGGUCAAAGGCCUGAGCACCAUCCCACAUUUUAUCAUUAAGCUGCCACAAGACACACAACUCUUACGCAGAAAUUAAGUUGAAAAACAAUUUCUUGUUCUAAAUUCCACUCCAACCCAGAUGCAAUGAAAUUUCUUGUGUCUGUAGAGUUGACAGAAAGUGUGUUUAUUACUCUGGAUCUGAGAGAACCCAUUAGAUGCUUGCACCACACAAAUCCAUUCUCCUCCCUGGAGGCAGACAUUUCCCUUUCAGUAAACACAUUUAUUUAAAAUGAGUAAGCUGGGGCUGGAGAGAUGGCUCUGUGGUUAAAAAUGUUGGUUCCUCUUUCAGAGUUGGAUUCCUAGCACCCAUAUGAGAGCUCACAGCUUAAUUUUUAACCAUUACUUUUUUUUUUUUUGGAGACGGUUUCUCUGUGUAGUCCUGGCUGUUCUGGAACUCACUUUGUAGACCAGGCUGGCCUCAAACUCAGAAAUCCGCCUGCCUCUGCCUCCCAAGUGCUGGGAUCAAAGGCAUGCGCCACCACGCCCUGCUCACCAUUUUUUUAAAGAUUUUAAAAUUUAUUUAUGUACAUGAGUGCUUAAUUUACAUGACAGAAGAGAGUGUCAGAUCCAUUACAGAUGGUUGUGAGCCACCUUGUGGUUGCUGGGAAUUGAACUCAAGAACCUCUGUAAGAGCGUUCAGUGCUCUUAACCACUGAGCCAUCUCUCUAGCUGCCGAGACUCACCAUUUUUUUUUUUUAAGAUUUAUUUUUUUAUCAUUAAGUACACUGUAGGUACCAGAAGAGGGUGUCAGAUCUCAUUAUGGGUGGUUGUGAGCCACCAUGUGGUUGCUGGGAUUUGAACUUAGGACCUUUGGAAGAACAGUCAGUUCUCCUAACCGCUGAGCCAUCUCUCCAGCCCGAGACUCACCAUUUUUAACUACAGCUAUAAUAAGUUAUCAUAAGACAACAUAAGAGAAAACUGAAUAAAGUCUAAUUGGUGAAAGGUUACAUCUUUACCAGAACCAGGUGUGCCUUAAUCCUUCUUACAUCUAGAUGUAGACUAUUUUUACAUUAAUUGUAAAAAUAAUUUAGGGGAGAAGUUUCUUUGCAGUCACAACUCUGAAGUCACAUGGUUAUACAAAUCCUGGUGCAUUGCAGCGGCAAACAUGAAACACACUUAACCUUCUUGUCAGUCACCUAGGAGGACUUAUCAGACACCCAAGAAGUAGAGACUAGAUGCGUUUCUGUAACAUCAGGAGCUCAGCACUACAGUAGGAGGAGAAGCAGUGUCUUUUCCUUAUGGUUCCAGACAGCAGGGAAGGAGGCUAUGGGGAAGAGAACCGUAAUUGUUACAGCUGAGAAGUCACCUUGAUGCCACCUUCAUUUUUAUUAUGCAUGAUGGCGUAGCUGAAGCUCAAUAAAUCAGAAGUCUGGUUGUUAUGGUUGGUUGGUUGUUAUGUGGGAGAGUGUUUUUGUUGCUGUUUUGUGUCUUGUUUUUGUUUUUUUAAGACAAGGUCUCUAUAUGCAGCCUUGGCUGCCCUGGAACUCACUCUGUAGAUCAGGCUAGUCUGGAACUCACAGAGAUCUGCCGACCUCUGCCUAGGCACAGAAGGACCUCGCAAGCCUCCCCUGUUAGAAUCUCAUGUAGCCCUGCCUGUCCUAGAACCUGUGAUGCAAAAAGCUGGCCUGAAACUCACAGAAAUUCACCUGUCUCCACCUCUACAUAGAGUGCUGGGACUGAGGCACCAUGUUAGCAAAAACUCUUUUAAUAAUAAAACUUUUCCUCUGCUGAGACCU
rnacentral:lncRNA from 1 species